rnacentral:rRNA from 1 species
UACGGGGGGGGCAAGCGUUGUUCGGAAUUACUGGGCGUAAAGGGCUCGUAGGCGGCCAACUAAGUCAGACGUGAAAUCCCUCGGCUUAACCGGGGAACUGCAUCUGAUACUGGAUGGCUUGAGUUCGGGAGAGGGAUGCGGAAUUCCAGGUGUAGCGGUGAAAUGCGUAGAUAUCUGGAGGAAUACCGGUGGCGAAGGCGGCUACCUGGUCCUACAUUGACGCUGAGAUACGAAAGCAUGGGGAGCAAACAGG